rnacentral:rRNA from 1 species
UUUCCGGUUGAUCCCGCCCGAGGUCACUGCUAUCGGGGUUCGAUUAAGCCAUGCGAGUCGAGAGGGUUCGGCCCUCGGCGUACUGCUCAGUAACACGUGGAUAACCUGCCCUAAGGAAGGGAAUACCCCCGGGAAACUGGGGAUAAUGCCCUAUAGGUUACCGAUGCUGGAAUGCUCGGUAACCGAAAGUUCCGGCGCCUUAGGAUGGAUCUGCGGCCGAUUAGGUUGUUGUCGGGGUAACGGCCCAACAAGCCGAUAAUCGGUACGGGUUGUGGGAGCAAGAGCCCGGAGUUGGAUUCUGAGACACGAAUCCAGGCCCUACGGGGCGCAGCAGGCGCGAAAACUUUACAAUGCGGGCAACCGUGAUAAGGGAACCUCGAGUGCCUGUAUAUGCAGGCUGUCCAGGUGUCUAAAACACACCUGAAGAAAGGGCCGGGCAAGACCGGUGCCAGCCGCCGCGGUAAUACCGGCGGCCCGAGUGGUGCCACUUUUAUUGGGCUUAAAGCGUUCGUAGCUGGGUCGUUAAGUCUCUUGGGAAAUCCGGCAGCUUAACUGUCGGGCGUCUAAGAGAUACUGGCGAUCUUGGAACCGGGAGAGGUGAGGGGUACUUCAGGGGUAGGAGUGAAAUCCUGUAAUCCUUGAGGGACCACCUGUGGCGAAGGCGCCUCACCAGAACGGCUUCGACAGUGAGGGACGAAAGCUGGGGGAGCAAACCGGAUUAGAUACCCGGGUAGUCCCAGCCGUAAACGAUGUGCGUUAGGUGUAUCGAUGACCACGAGUCAUCGAGGUGCCGAAGGGAAACCGUGAAACGUACCGCCUGGGAAGUACGGUCGCAAGGCUGAAACUUAAAGGAAUUGGCGGGGGAGCACCACAACAGGUGGAGCCUGCGGUUUAAUUGGAUUCAACGCCGGGA